rnacentral:hammerhead_ribozyme from 1 species
AUCUAUCUGAUGAGUCCCAAACAGGACAAAACGCACGUCCUGGAC